UACGUAGGGUGCGAGCGUUGUCCGGAAUUAUUGGGCGUAAAGGGCUCGUAGGCGGUUUGUCGCGUCGGGAGUGAAAAUCCAGGGCUUAACUCUGGACUGGCUUUCGAUACGGGCAGACUAGAGGUAUGCAGGGGAGAACGGAAUUCCUGGUGUAGCGGUGAGAUGCGCAGAUAUCAGGAGGAACACCGGUGGCGAAGGCGGUUCUCUGGGCAUUACCUGACGCUGAGGAGCGAAAGUGUGGGGAGCGAACAGG
rnacentral:rRNA from 1 species